rnacentral:rRNA from 1 species
AUUGAACGCUGGCGGCAGGCUUAACACAUGCAAGUCGAGCGGAGAUGAGGUGCUUGCACCUUAUCUUAGCGGCGGACGGGUGAGUAAUGCUUAGGAAUCUGCCUAUUAGUGGGGGACAACAUUCCGAAAGGAAUGCUAAUACCGCAUACGCCCUACGGGGUAAAGCAAGGGAUCUUCGGACCUUGCGCUAAUAGAUGAGCCUAAGUCGGAUUAGCUAGUUGGUGGGGUAAAGGCCGACCAAGGCGACGAUCUGUAGCGGGUCUGGGAGGAUGAUCCGCCACACUGGGACUGAGACACGGCCCAGACUCCUACGGGAGGCAGCAGUGGGGAAUAUUGGACAAUGGGCGGAAGCCUGAUCCAGCCAUGCCGCGUGUGUGAAGAAGGCCUUUUGGUUGUAAAGCACUUUAAGCGAGGAGGAGGCUACCUGGAUUAAUACUCUAGGAUAGUGGACGUUACUCGCAGAAUAAGCACCGGCUAACUCUGUGCCAGCCGCCGCAGUAAGAC